AUGCUGAGCGGGACACCGACGACACCCAGGACCCGGCCCGGCAGCGCGGAAGGAGCCGUCCCGCCUCCCGCUCCGCGCAGCACUCACCCCCAGCACCGGACGCACCACUCCCGAAGCCACAGCCACAGUAGGAGCGCCCGCGCCGUCGAGGCUAGCGCCGGUCCCGGCGGGACGCCCCGCCCCCAGGCUCGGCUCACCGCCCAUUGGCUGCUGGAGGCGGUGAUUUGCAUAGCUGCGCCCCGCCCCCGCCCGUCGGGGGCUGGAUCUGUACGGGAAGCGUGGGGGUGCGCGGGGUGGUCCUGCCUGGCAGCCGGCACCGUGGGUAUCGCCGGCCCCUUCCCGCCCGCUUCGGACGUGGGCGCGGAAAUACCGUGCCGGACCGGCAAAUGGGGACGCACAUCAAACCUCUGCUGCCGGUCAGUGUGUGAGAGGAGGCGAGCUCCGCAUAGUGCUGCAGGUUUGGUGCAUUCCAAACUGUUCAGCUUCUGACAAACAAGAUAUUCCCAGGAAAUAAACCUGCGAGCGGGAAGACA
rnacentral:lncRNA from 1 species